rnacentral:rRNA from 1 species
UACGUAGGGGGCAAGCGUUGUCCGGAUUUAUUGGGCGUAAAGAGCGUGUAGGCGGCUUGGAAGGUCAGCUGUGAAAACUCGAGGCUCAACCUCGAGACGUCGGUUGAAACCACUUGGCUAGAGUCCGGAAGAGGAGAGUGGAAUUCCCGGUGUAGCGGUGAAAUGCGCAGAUAUCGGGAAGAACACCCGUGGCGAAGGCGGCUCUCUGGGACGGUACUGACGCUGAGACGCGAAAGCGUGGGGAGCGAACAGG